GACGAACCGUGCGAACGUUAUUCGGAAUCACUGGGCUUAAAGCGCGUGUAGGCGGGCCGCCCACGUCGGCUGCUGAAAUCCCCCCGGCUCAACCGGGGAAGUGGCACCGAUACGAGCGGCCUCGAGGGGGGGUAGGGGGGGUCUGGAACUUCCGGUGGAGCGGUGAAAUGCGUUGAGAUCGGAAGGAACGCCCGUGGCGAAAGCGAGGCCCUGGACCCUUACUGACGCUGAGACGCGAAAGCGUGGGUAGCAAACAGG
rnacentral:rRNA from 1 species